rnacentral:rRNA from 1 species
UCGAGCGAGCUUGCCUAGAUGAUUUUAGUGCUUGCACUAAAUGAAACUAGAUACAAGCGAGCGGCGGACGGGUGAGUAACACGUGGGUAACCUGCCCAAGAGACUGGGAUAACACCUGGAAACAGAUGCUAAUACCGGGUAACAACACUAGACGCAUGUCUAGAGUUUGAAAGAUGGUUCUGCUAUCACUCUUGGAUGGACCUGCGGUGCAUUAGCUAGUUGGUAAGGUAACGGCUUACCAAGGCAAUGAUGCAUAGCCGAGUUGAGAGACUGAUCGGCCACAUUGGGACUGAGACACGGCCCAAACUCCUACGGGAGGCAGCAGUAGGGAAUCUUCCACAAUGGACGAAAGUCUGAUGGAGCAACGCCGCGUGAGUGAAGAAGGGUUUCGGCUCGUAAAGCUCUGUUGGUAGUGAAGAAAGAUAGAGGUAGUAACUGGCCUUUAUUUGACAAAAAAAACUUAGAAAGUCACGGCUAACUACGUGCCAACAGCCGCGGUAAUACGUAGGUGGCAAGCGUUGUCCGGAUUUAUUGGGCGUAAAGCGAGUGCAGGCGGUUCAAUAAGUCUGAUGUGAAAGCCUUCGGCUCAACCGGAGAAUUGCAUCAGAAACUGUUGAACUUGAGUGCAGAAGAGGAGAGUGGAACUCCAUGUGUAGCGGUGGAAUGCGUAGA